rnacentral:rRNA from 1 species
GACGAACGCUGGCGGCGUGCCUAACACAUGCAAGUCGAGCGGGAACCUCAGGAGGGGUAACCCACCUGAGGGGAGAGCGGCGAACGGGUGAGUAUCACGUGGGCAACCUGCCCCGGACACCGGGAUAACCCAGGGAAACCUGAGCUAAUACCGGAUACUCCGGCGCGACCACAUGGUCGCUCCGGGAAAGCCUUGACGGUCCGGGAUGGGCCCGCGGCCUAUCAGCUUGUUGGUGGGGUAACGGCCCACCAAGGCGACGACGGGUAGCUGGUCUGAGAGGACGGCCAGCCACACUGGGACUGAGACACGGCCCAGACUCCUACGGGAGGCAGCAGUGGGGGAUCUUGCGCUAAUGCGCGAAAGCGUGACGCAGCGACGCCGCGUGGGGAUGAAGGCCCUCGGGUUGUAAACCCCUUUCGGCAGGGACGAAGCGAAAGUGACGGUACCUGCAGAAGAAGUCCCGGCUAACUACGUGCCAGCCGCCGCCGUAAU